rnacentral:sRNA from 1 species
ACUUCAAAAUCCAACUGUUGUCUAGUAUCUUAGUUCUCUCAAGGAGAAGGAAAAUGACCCCUAAAUAUUGUAAACACAAAGCUCUUAUUUCUAGAGUUUCAAAUAGUAUUCACUGGGGUUACACAUUCUAAUUUGUCUUUUUCAGUAUUGGAUUUGAAUUCCAGUGCCGCCUACAUAAUUGUACAACUUUGACUCCAGGCAGCUGUGAGCAGGCUUUGCAUUUUUACUCAGCCUGACAAUCUUUAUCAUUUUGCCAAGGGUGUCCUGGUCAUUAAGACAGGAGCCUAGCAUAACUG